rnacentral:tRNA from 1 species
GGUCGCGUAGCUCAGUGGUAGAGCACUACCUUGACAUGGUAGGGGUCGCUGGUUCAAGUCCAGUCGUGACCA